rnacentral:lncRNA from 1 species
UUGUAAAUCGCAGGCUAAUGUUUCAUUAUUUUUUUUUUUAUUGAUAUAAAACCCGAUUUCAGGGGGGAAAGUUGGUUUUGGGAAAGAAAUGCAAAGAGUUGGAUGUGUUUUGAGAAUAUACUAGUAAUGUAAUAACAUGUUCCUUUAUUAAAUGUUAAUAAACGGGUUUGUAACUGGCAUAAGAAACACCAUGGCUUCAGCGAUCAUUCUUUUUUUUUCUU